AGCCUGAACGCUGGCGGCGUGGCUAAGACAUGCAAGUCGAACGGUGUAGCAAUACACAGUGGCGAACGGGUGAUUAAUGUAUCGCUAACGUACCCUUAUGUCAGGGAUAGCCGGGGGAAACUCCGGGUAAUACCUGAUGAAAUUCCUUUUUCGCAUGGAAAAGGACUCAAAGGAGCAAUCCGCAAAAGGAGCGGGCGAUAUCGUAUCAGCUAGUUGGUGAGGUAACGGCUCACCAAGGCGACGACGCGUAGCCGGGCUGAGAGGUCGGCCGGCCACAUUGGGACUGAGACACUGCCCAGACUCCUACGGGGGGCUGCAGUAACGAAUCUUCCGCAAUGCACGCAAGUGUGACGGAGCGACGCCGCGUGUGGGACGAAGUCCUUCGGGAUGUAAACCACUGUCAGGGGUAAGAAAGUUCUGAUCUACCCCAGAGGAGGGCACGGCUAACUCUGCGCCAGCAGCCGC
rnacentral:rRNA from 1 species